GGAAAGGUGCAGGAGUGGUUGAACUGGCUCGCCUGGAAAGCGUGUGUACCCCACAAGGGUACCGAGGGUUCGAAUCCCUCCCUUUCCGC
rnacentral:tRNA from 1 species